rnacentral:lncRNA from 10 species
GUGUUUCAUUUUCUGUUUAUUACUUGAAAUCACGGUGCUCGUGUAGGUUUUUUUUUUUUUUUCAAUUUUAUGUUUUCAUACAUAAAGGGGGGGAGUUGAGGACCUGGGGUUCACCUACGAGAACAACGGUGGGGGACAGGCAGAGCCAGGACAAGACCGACAGGUGGGGUGAGGAAGGGUCCAGACAUCUCCAUUAUCAUUAAAAAAUAAAAAGUGAGUGGGGAAAAAAAUCCAAAAACUACCCCAUUGAAAUGGCCCCAGUAGGGGAUUUGUCCCUCCCCUCUGGAGACAGACACCCCUAGGGCAGGGGCACUGAGAGGCAGGGGGUCCAAAUUAGACCAGCAGCGGACCCCGCCACGGGGGUUAAUGCUACACGGAGUUGUCGCCCCCUGCCCAGGGGAUUCACAGCUCAGCACCCCCUCCCAUCCUCGCUGCAGGAGGGGCCCCCAGACAGUCCCAAAUCCACAUCCCUCAGGUUGGGCCGGGAAGGAGGGCUCGGAGGGGGGAACUCCCCAGCACCCAGCCAUUCUCUCCCCUUUUUCAAGAGUUCCCCAACCACUAUUGGCUCAGUCAGAAAAUUAAUAGUCUAUAAAUACCCCAAACUCAGGCAGGAGGUCAGAAAACACGGGAGUGGGGGCGGAGGAAACAGCACAGUCCGCCGGCUGGGGCGGGGCGGAGGGCAGGCUGGGGGGGUAGUUCCCCUCUCCCUUCCCGACAGGAAAGGGUGCCAUGCCCCUGCACCCAAACCCCAUGGGGACCUCAGCCCCAGCCUCUGCUAAAACAGCUUUGCUCUCCUUGUUAAAGAAAUGAAGGAAAAUGCAAAAAAAAGAUCAAGAAAAGAGGAUAGGAGUGGAAGAGAAACAGUCCCCUCGUUGGCUUCUGUGACCUGUUGGCUUGCUGUAGCCCAGUGGGCGCUGCUGGCCUGGGGUGGAGACCCCGAAGUCUGCACUGGGGGGUGGGGUGGGUUCUGCGCACUGCGGCCCCUCCCCUCAUCUGUAAAGUGCAUAAUGACAUAUCGACAUUUUUGACUUAAAACCUGAAUAGGGUCGGGGGGGAAAGGAGGCGGCGGAAGGGAUGGGGCGCGUUUCUCCGUCUCCUUCACUCUCCGCCAUCCAGAGAGACUGCUACAUAUUGGAGCUGGGGAAGGUUGGCAGGGAGGACCGACCUGGCGCAGAGGUGAAAGGAGACAGACGGAGGAGGAGGAGGAGGAGGAAGAGGAGGGCAGGAGUGAAGGGUGAAGGAGGUAGGAAGCAAAGCCCAUGAAGAGUCCAGGAAACCACGGUCAGAACUUUUUAAAAAAAGAAAAAAAUAAUAAAAAAGAAGAAAAGAAAAAAAGACUUCUGGCUGGGGGAGUGGCCGCCUGCCCUCCAGGGCUGGGCCACGUUCUCUCCGGGGCUCUCGGAGUCCCCGCCGCCCUGGGCUGGGGUGCGAGGGGCGAGGGUGGCCGAUCCGAAGAUCCUAAGCCACCACGAACUCUGACUUGAU